CUGGUCGGACAUCAGGAGGUUAGUGCAAUGGCAUAAGCCAGCUUGACUGCGAGCGUGACGGCGCGAGCAGGUGCGAAAGCAGGUCAUAGUGAUCCGGUGGUUCUGAAUGGAAGGGCCAUCGCUCAACGGAUAAAAGGUACUCCGGGGAUAACAGGCUGAUACCGCCCAAGAGUUCAUAUCGACGGCGGUGUUUGGCACCUCGAUGUCGGCUCAUCACAUCCUGGGGCUGAAGUAGGUCCCAAGGGUAUGGCUGUUCGCCAUUUAAAGUGGUACGCGAGCUGGGUUUAGAACGUCGUGAGACAGUUCGGUCCCUAUCUGCCGUGGGCGCUGGAGAACUGAGGGGGGCUGCUCCUAGUACGAGAGGACCGGAGUGGACGCAUCACUGGUGUUCGGGUUGUCAUGCCAAUGGCACUGCCCGGUAGCUAAAUGCGGAAGAGAUAAGUGCUGAAAGCAUCUAAGCACGAAACUUGCCCCGAGAUGAGUUCUCCCUGAGACUUAGAGUCUCCUGAAGGAACGUUGAAGACGACGACGUUGAUAGGCCGGGUGUGUAAGCGCAGCGAUGCGUUGAGCUAACCGGUACUAAUGAACCGUGAGGCUUAACCUUACAACGCCG
rnacentral:rRNA from 1 species